rnacentral:rRNA from 1 species
GGUCAGGAUGAACGCUGGCGGCGUGCUUAACACAUGCAAGUCGAACGAAGCAGCUUCUGCUGCAAGAAAGCUGACUUAGUGGCGGACGGGUGAGUAACGCGUGGGUAACCUGCCUCAUACAGGGGGGAUAACAGUUGGAAACGACUGCUAAGACCGCAUAACCCGCUAGUGUCGCAUGACACGGACGGAAAAUAUUUAUAGGUAUGAGAUGGGCCCGCGUCUGAUUAGCUAGUUGGUGAGGUAACGGCUUACCAAGGCGACGAUCAGUAGCCGACUUGAGAGAGUGAUCGGCCACAUUGGGACUGAGACACGGCCCAAACUCCUACGGGAGGCAGCAGUGGGGAAUAUUGGACAAGGGGGGAAACCCUGAUCCAGCCGACGCCGCGUGAGUGAAGAAGUAUUUCGGUAUGUAAAGCUCUAUCAGCAGGGAAGAUAAUGACAGUACCUGACUAAGAAGCCCCGGCUAACUACGUGCCAGCCGCCGC